rnacentral:rRNA from 1 species
UACGGAGGGGGCUAGCGUUGUUCGGAAUUACUGGGCGUAAAGGGCGCGUAGGCGGCGCGAUAAGUUGGGCGUGAAAGGCCCGGGCUCAACCCGGGGACUGCGCUUGAUACUGUCGCGCUGUGAGUCCGGGAGAGGAUGGCGGAAUUCCCAGUGUAGCGGUGAAAUGCGUAGAGAUGUGGAGGAACACCAGUGGCGAAGGCGACUCUUUGGCCUGUAACUGACGCUGAGGUGCGAAAGCGUGGGGAGCAAACAGG